rnacentral:sRNA from 1 species
CUGAUUUUUAUAAUGACUGGAUGUUCAUUGCUAAACAUCUGCCUGAUCUCAUAGAGUCUGGCCAACUUCGAGAAAGAGUUGAGAAGUUAAACAUGCUCAGCAUUGAUCAUCUCACAGACCACAAGUCACAGCGCCUUGCACGUCUAGUUCUGGGAUGCAUCACCAUGGCAUAUGUGUGGGGCAAAGGUCAUGGAGAUGUCCGUAAGGUCUUGCCAAGAAAUAUUGCUGUUCCUUACUGCCAACUCUCCAAGAAACUGGAACUGCCUCCUAUUCUGGUUUAUGCAGACUGUGUCUUGGCGAACUGGAAGAAAAAGGAUCCUAAUAAGCCCCUGACUUAUGAGAACAUGGACGUUUUGUUCUCAUUUCGUGAUGGAGACUGCAGUAAAGGAUUCUUCCUGGUCUCUCUAUUGGUGGAAAUAGCAGCUGCUUCUGCAAUCAAAGUACGUCUAUCCUCACUUCAAAAUGUGUAUGUCAAUUUACGUAAGCAGAGCAAUCACUUCGGAGCCUAAACUAUACUAAGCAUGAGUUAACUUUAUCCUUAACAAGUACAACAUGGGACCAUUUAAUUGGGGGUAAAGGAUCAAUUAUUUAUUUUUGUGUAUUACCUAAAAUAUAAAAUCUCAGAGCCAUAUACUUAAAAUACAACUUGAAACCUCUGUAGGAAAUAAAAAUUUUCAAUAAAAUCUGGCUUUGGAACUAU